rnacentral:rRNA from 1 species
AUAGCGUAUAUUAAAGUUGUUGCAGUUAAAAAGCUCGUAGUUGAACUUCAGGCCUUGUCUGGUGGUCCGCCUCACGGCGUGUACUGUCGGCUGGGGCCUUCCCUCUUGGUGAACCCUCAUGCCCUUUAUUGGGUGUGGGGGGGAACCAGGACUUUUACUUUGAAAAAAUUAGAGUGUUCAAAGCAGGCCUAUGCCCGAAUACAUUAGCAUGGAAUAAUAAAAUAGGACGUGCGGUUCUAUUUUGUUGGUUUCUAGGAUCGCCGUAAUGAUUAAUAGGGAUAGUUGGGGGCAUUAGUAUUCAGUUGCUAGAGGUGAAAUUCUUGGAUUUACUGAAGACUAACUACUG